GUCAGGCAUGGUGGCUCAUGCCUGUAAUCCCAGCAAUUUGGGAGGCUGAGGUGGGUGGAUCACCUGAGGUCAGGAGUUUGAGACCAGCCUGACCAACAUGGUGAAAACCCAUCUCUA
rnacentral:SRP_RNA from 1 species